rnacentral:rRNA from 1 species
GACGAACGCUGGCGGCGUGCUUAACACAUGCAAGUCGAACGGAAAGGCCUCUUUCGGGGGGUCCUCGAGUGGCGAACGGGUGAGUAACACGUGAGUAACCUGCCCUUGACUUUGUGAUAACUUCAGGAAACUGGGGCCAAUACCUGAUACGAGCUCCUGCUUCCUGGUGGGGGUUGGAAAGUUUCGGCGGUUGGGGGUGGACUCGCGGCUUAACGGCUUAUUGUGGGGGUAGUGGCUUACCAAGGCCUUGACGGGUAGCCGGCCAGAGGGGGUGAGCGGCCACAGUGGGACUUAGGUACGGCCCAGACUCCGACGGGUGGAAGAAGGGGGGAAGAUUGCACAAGGGGUAGAGGCCUGAUGCAGAAGCGCCGUGUGCGGGAGGACGGCCUUCGGGUUGUAAACCGCUUUCGCUCAUGACGAAGCUUUGUGUGACGGUAGUGAAUAAAGAAGCACCGGCUAACUACGUG